CAGGGAGACAACAAAAUGUAAAUAUUAAUUUUGUCACCUUAGGUCGAUCGGUAUCUCAGAUUCUUAUUUAUUUAAGAAUUUCAGUUUCUAAGUUUUUUCUAGGUCACACCCAUCACUUUUUCCUGGGCCAUUAGCUCAGGUGGUUAGAGCGCACCCCUGAUAAGGGUGAGGUCCCUGGUUCAAGUCCAGGAUGGCCCAUAUCUCUAUGUUGGGGGUAUAGCUCAGUUGGUAGAGCGCCUGCUUUGCAAGCAGGAUGUCAGCGGUUCGAGUCCGCUUACCUCCACUGAAUACCACCUCUUACAUAUAGUUGAAGUGGGAAAUUGUUUUGAGUCGUGUCCUAAUUUGCUCUGAGCGAAUCUAGCUUCCUAUUUUAUCCAAGAAAUAAGAUGCUGGACUCAUUGAAUUUUUUUUCAUUGUUUUCAGAGAACCUUGACAACUGCAUAGAUUAUUUUUAAAGACAAUAAGCAUCUUUAAUGAUGCAGAUUUAUUAUUUGUGCGAAUGCAUUAAAUAACAAUUCUAUUAAGCUGAUGCUUCAAUUAUUGAAGUUAUU
rnacentral:tRNA from 1 species